rnacentral:rRNA from 1 species
GAUGAACGCUGGCGGCGCGCCUAACACAUGCAAGUCGAACGAUUAAACCGCCCUUGGGCGGAUAUACAGUGGCGAACGGGUGAGUAACGCGUGACCAACCUUCCCCCCGCAUCGGGACAACCCGGGGAAACCCGGGCUAAUACCGGAUAUGCCGGGUAUGGCGCAUGUCAUACCCAGGAAAGCUUUUGCGGCGGGGGAUGGGGUCGCGUCCCAUCAGGUAGACGGCGGGGUAGUAGCCCACCGUGCCAACGACGGGUAGCCGGGUUGAGGGACCGACCGGCCACAUUGGGACUGAGAUACGGCCCAGACUCCUACGGGAGGCAGCAGUGGGGAAUCUUGCGCAAUGGGGGAAACCCUGACGCAGCGACGCCGCGUGCGGGAUGGAGGCCUUCGGGCCGUGAACCGCUUUCAGCAGGGAAGACAUUAAGGACGGUACCUGCAGAAGAAGCCCCGGCUAACUACGUGCCAGCAGCCGCGGUAAUACGUAGGGGGCGAGCGUUAUCCGGAUUCAUUGGGCGUAAAGCGCGCGCAGGCGGCGCACCAGGCGGGAUCUCGAAACCGGGGGCUCAACCUCCGGGCGGAUCCCGAACCGGUGUGCUCGAGUGCGGUAGAGGAAGUCGGAAUUCCCGGUGUAGCGGUGAAAUGCGCAGAUAUCGGGAAGAACACCGAUGGCGAAGGCAGACUUCUGGGCCGACACUGACGCUCAGGCGCGAAAGCUGGGGGAGCGAACAGG